UGUAUGAGCUGUUUCGGAUAUUUCGUCUCCUAGAUCCUGGCCUGGCUUAUUUCGUUUCGGCGCUGCUGAGACCUCCUUUCGCGGAAUAUUACUCAAUAUCGACAGUGUGCGAAGAACGCGAGUUCACCUUCUUGACGAAAAUCGUGGACUAACAGUUCGAAGUCAUUGAACUACUUCCAAAAGUUGUAUCGACAUCAACAGGGUUACGAUUUCAGUGCAAUAUGGUGCAGGAUGACC